UGUUGCAUUCUGCUAAACUGGCUGUUAAGAGAGAGAUUGCUCAAGGUGGUCAUAUUUCACUAAGUUGUCAGACUAUUUAACACUGGCUUUGGUAGAAGCUUUGCAUAAGGAGCAUGUGGCAGAAGUAUGUUCAAUCAUGUUGGAUAAAUUGAAUGAGUGCUUGCAGAUUUGUGGACUCCUUUUCUAUGAAGGUCAGAUUCGUCGCAUAGUGAAUGAGAUAAAGCAUGUCAUUACAGAAAGUUCGAGCAGAAAAGAAGAAUUCACAGAGCGAGCAAAAACAGAAGAUUUUGAUGCUGAGGAAGCUGAAUUGUUGAGGAAGGAAAGAGAGCAAGAAGAAGAAGUUUACGAGAAUGUAUGUUCUAUAUAAGAAUGGAGUUCAGACAUAAGUGCAUAGUCUUGUCUUUUCAUAAGCAUUUCACUUUGGAUUAUACCAUUAUUCUUGAAGCACACUAAAUUUCUUAUUAGGUUGGUAAAAUGUUGCGUACAUUGAUCAAUGCUUUCAAGUCUGAUUUCCUGCCUUUU